UAGAUAAGUCGAGCGUUGUGGAAGCGAUGCGUGUCCCUUCACGGGCGCAAUGGGGUUUGUUCACGUUAUGGGCACGAACAAAGGUCGAUCUCUGCAGCCUUCAACGGUGAUGUCGUUUCCGCUUACUCUUUACCUUCUGAAACGGUUUGAGUAAAGAGUUGAGUUUGUGUUUAGUUUCAUUGAUUCGCCAAUCCACUACGUCGUCUUUAAUGCGCUUCUGUUUCAAUCUGAAAAUCGGUGAUUUCAGUAUAAUUAUGUGUACGUACUGUCAGGCGGUGGCGACGGGAACCAUGGUGUUAGAACGACCAGACGGAAAGUCGGAGAGAUUUUUCAGUACAGUAAGCGCCAGUGAGGUGGUUAAGUCUCAUCCCAGCCACCAGCUCUCCUCAUCUCCUCCUCCGUACCUCACGGCCGCUCUCUCCGCAUCAUCCGAAUCAAACAACUCCGUCCUUCCGAUAAUUUCUGCUCGGACAUGUAUAUACACUCAUCUCUUCCAAAGUAUUAUCACUUACUCUCUCUCUCCUGCAACUUCACUGUUUCACAUGGCAUUUUGUUCUGUCAUAUGAAUAAGAUUGUUCCAAAUCCUCAUGGUUUGGCUCCCGACAACUCUGAACCAUUACUUCAAUGGAGCCACCGUUAGCUAUUGUGGCAGAGAAACGUAUCAUUGCAGUGCCGGCCACGUUCUAAGGAGAAGAUGACAGUCCAAAUAUCUGUCACGAGAUUGAGUUGGCGGAACAGAAGACAAAUCGCUAAAGCUCUAAGUAGUAUGCCUAAUGUAUAUUCAUCCCUCUUUGGUAUGAGAUUCUGCAGCUUAGUACAAAAGACUGGUAGGAACGUGAAGCAACUUCAGGUGGUCUCAUCAACAAAAAAAA